CGUCAAAUCAUCAUGCCCCUUAUGAUCUGGGCUACACACGUGCUACAAUGGCGUAAACAAAGGGAAGCGACCCCGUGAGGGUGAGCGAAUCCCAAAAAUAACGUCUCAGUUCGGAUUGUAGUCUGCAACUCGACUACAUGAAGCUGGAAUCGCUAGUAAUCGCGAAUCAGAAUGUCGCGGUGAAUACGUUCCCGGGUCUU
rnacentral:rRNA from 1 species